rnacentral:rRNA from 1 species
CGUGUAGGCGGUCAGGUAGGUGGAAUGUGAAAUGCCCCGGCUCACCCGGGGACCGGCAUCCCAAACUGCCUGGCUUGAGUAUGGGAGAGGAUGGAGGAAUUCCUGGUGUAGCGGUGAAAUGCGUAGAUAUCAGGAGGAACACCGGUGGCGAAGGCGUCCAUCUGGCCCAAUACUGACGCUGAGGCGCGAAAGCUAGGGGAGCAAACGG